AGCGAACGCUGGCGGUAGGCCUAACACAUGCAAGUCGAACGGCAGCACAGUAAGAGCUUGCUCUUACGGGUGGCGAGUGGCGGACGGGUGAGGAAUACAUCGGAAUCUACUUUUUCGUGGGGGAUAACGUAGGGAAACUUACGCUAAUACCGCAUACGACCUACGGGUGAAAGCAGGGGAUCUUCGGACCUUGCGCGAUUGAAUGAGCCGAUGUCGGAUUAGCUAGUUGGCGGGGUAAAGGCCCACCAAGGCGACGAUCCGUAGCUGGUCUGAGAGGAUGGUCAGCCACACUGGAACUGAGACACGGUCCAGACUCCUACGGGAGGCAGCAGUGGGGAAUAUUGGACAAUGGGCGCAAGCCUGAUCCAGCCAUACCGCGUGGGUGAAGAAGGCCUUCGGGUUGUAAAGCCCUUUUGUUGGGAAAGAAAAGCAGCAGGUUAAUACCCCGCUGUUCUGACGGUACCCAAAGAAUAAGCACCGGCUAACUUCGUG
rnacentral:rRNA from 1 species